AUUUAAAGUGUGCAACAUGAUGAUGUGAUACACAUAUUCAUAGUGAAAUGAUUACUACAGUCAAGCAAAUUAACAUAUCAUCUCCUCACAAAGUUACGAGUUUUUGCGUAUGAUGAGUGUACCCGAAAUCUACACUCUUGGCCUGUUUCAAGAGUUUAGUAGAAUAUUAUUAAUUAUAGUCCUCACGCCUGUGCAUUAGAUCUCUAGACAUUCAUCUUACAUAAGUGCAACACAGCCUGCUAAGUCUUUUCUCAAGAGGACAUAAUACAUCUUUGUUUUCUAAUUCUCCUAUCAAAGUGUUGGUCCUGGCUAAAUCCCUUUGUUUUUGGCUGAUGAAAUAAGUUUGGAGAAUGACUACUAAAUAGCUUAUGCUAAAUUUUUCUAAUAUUGUAUAAAUUUCUUCUUCUUAUUUUUUUUUUCCUCUUUCUCUCUUUUUUUUUGUGUGAGAAAGACUGGCCCUGAGCUAACAUCUAUGCCAAUCCUCCUCUACUUUAUGUGGCAUGCUGCCACAGCAUGGCUUGAUGAGGGGUACUAGUUUUGCACCUGGGAUCCAAACUGUGAAUCCAGGUGGUGGAAGUGGAGCGCAGAAACCUAACCACUAUGCCACCAGGCCGACCCCUACUUUUGUUGUUUUAUCCCCAUAUGGAGGUGGAAGAAAAGAAAACAAAUGUCAGCCUGUACCUGAGAGAACAUGGAAUAUUGAUGUUUAUAUUGCCUUGAAAAACAAAAGGACACAUUUUCUAAGAGAAAGGACCUCCCACUACAACGUAGACGUCACAACCACGUCAGUAUUUUAUAUAGAGUGA
rnacentral:lncRNA from 1 species